GGACGAACGGUGAGUAACGCGUAGGCAACCUGCCCCCCGGAUUGGGACAACACCCCGAAAGGGGUGCUAAUACCGGAUACGAAGAUAAUACCGCAUGGUGUUAUUUUGAAAGAUGGCCUCUACAGGUAAGCUAUCGCCGGGGGAUGGGCCUGCGUCCGAUUAGCUGGUUGGUGGGGUAACGGCCCACCAAGGCGACGAUCGGUAGCCGGUCUGAGAGGACGAACGGCCACAUUGGGACUGAGACACGGCCCAGACUCCUACGGGAGGCAGCAGUGGGGAAUCUUCCGCAAUGGGCGCAAGCCUGACGGAGCAACGCCGCGUGAGUGAGGAAAAGUUUUUCGGAACGUAAAGCUCUGUUGUACAUGACGAACGUGCGAUCUGUCAACAACGGAUGGCAGUGACGGUAGUGUACGAGGAAGCCACGGCUAACUACGUGCCAGCCGCGGC
rnacentral:rRNA from 1 species